rnacentral:lncRNA from 1 species
AAAAUUAAAAAUUAAAAAAGUCAAUUCUAACUGACUUUAAAAAAGUCAACUGAAAAACAAAUGGUUCCAAACGGAGCCUUAAGCAUUAUCAAUCGGAGCCUAUGUGUGAGUGUGCUUGCUGGUAAUACAGCAAGGGUAAAUUACACUGAGCGUCCCUGUACUUUCCAACGCGGAGGAUCCGAUCCAAUUAUUGGCUGGGCGACCCGGAUCUUCUUGUUCGGUGGUUGCAGCCAUGGAGGUGUGUUGAAGACCAUUUUGGUUUGCUGUUGAAAGUAGAGCAUGUUACUGGUUCUUUCUAGUAUUAUGGCCCUGUUUGAUAACCGGGUUAGGGAGGGGAGAUUGGAAUUAAGAGUCCGUGGGGCUCUAAUCCCGUGUUUGGUUUGGCAAUUAAUGGCCGGACUAAUAGUCCGACUGGAUUACUAAUCCCACCAUUUUGUAGGAUUGUUAAUCUUAUGGGGGGU